rnacentral:rRNA from 1 species
CACGUAGGGGACGAGCGUUGUCCGGAUUCAUUGGGCGUAAAGCGCGUGUAGGCGGCUUUGCAAGUCGGGUGUGAAAGCCCUCAGCUUAACUGAGGAAGUGCGCCCGAAACUGCAGAGCUUGAGUACCGGAGAGGAUGGUGGAAUUCCCGAAGUAGAGGUGAAAUUCGUAGAUAUCGGGAGGAACACCGGUGGCGAAGGCGACCAUCUGGACGGAUACUGACGCUGAGACGCGAAAGCGUGGGUAGCAAACAGG